UUAAGCGACUAAGCGUACACGGUGGAUGCCCUGGCAGUCAGAGGCGAUGAAGGACGUGCUAAUCUACGAUAAGCGUCGGUAAGGUGAUAUGAACCGUUAUAACCGGCGAUUUCCGAAUGGGGAAACCCAGUGUGAUUCGUCACACUAUCAUUAACUGAAUCCAUAGGUUAAUGAGGCGAACCGGGGGAACUGAAACAUCUAAGUACCCCGAGGAAAAGAAAUCAACCGAGAUUCCCCCAGUAGCGGCGAGCGAACGGGGAGCAGCCCAGAGCCUGAAUCAGUGUGUGUGUUAGUGGAAGCGUCUGGAAAGGCGCGCGAUACAGGGUGACAGCCCCGUACACAAAAAUGCACAUGCUGUGAGCUCGAUGAGUAGGGCGGGACACGUGGUAUCCUGUCUGAAUAUGGGGGGACCAUCCUCCAAGGCUAAAUACUCCUGACUGACCGAUAGUGAACCAGUACCGUGAGGGAAAGGCGAAAAGAACCCCGGCGAGGGGAGUGAAAAAGAACCUGAAACCGUGUACGUACAAGCAGUGGGAGCACGCUUAGGCGUGUGACUGCGUACCUUUUGUAUAAUGGGUCAGCGACUUAUAUUCUGUAGCAAGGUUAACCGAAUAGGGGAGCCGAAGGGAAACCGAGUCUUAACUGGGCGUUAAGUUGCAGGGUAUAGACCCGAAACCCGGUGAUCUAGCCAUGGGCAGGUUGAAGGUUGGGUAACACUAACUGGAGGACCGAACCGACUAAUGUUGAAAAAUUAGCGGAUGACUUGUGGCUGGGGGUGAAAGGCCAAUCAAACCGGGAGAUAGCUGGUUCUCCCCGAAAGCUAUUUAGGUAGCGCCUCGUGAAUUCAUCUCCGGGGGUAGAGCACUGUUUCGGCAAGGGGGUCAUCCCGACUUACCAACCCGAUGCAAACUGCGAAUACCGGAGAAUGUUAUCACGGGAGACACACGGCGGGUGCUAACGUCCGUCGUGAAGAGGGAAACAACCCAGACCGCCAGCUAAGGUCCCAAAGUCAUGGUUAAGUGGGAAACGAUGUGGGAAGGCCCAGACAGCCAGGAUGUUGGCUUAGAAGCAGCCAUCAUUUAAAGAAAGCGUAAUAGCUCACUGGUCGAGUCGGCCUGCGCGGAAGAUGUAACGGGGCUAAACCAUGCACCGAAGCUGCGGCAGCGACGCUUAUGCGUUGUUGGGUAGGGGAGCGUUCUGUAAGCCUGUGAAGGUGUGCUGUGAGGCAUGCUGGAGGUAUCAGAAGUGCGAAUGCUGACAUAAGUAACGAUAAAGCGGGUGAAAAGCCCGCUCGCCGGAAGACCAAGGGUUCCUGUCCAACGUUAAUCGGGGCAGGGUGAGUCGACCCCUAAGGCGAGGCCGAAAGGCGUAGUCGAUGGGAAACAGGUUAAUAUUCCUGUACUUGGUGUUACUGCGAAGGGGGGACGGAGAAGGCUAUGUUGGCCGGGCGACGGUUGUCCCGGUUUAAGCGUGUAGGCUGGUUUUCCAGGCAAAUCCGGAAAAUCAAGGCUGAGGCGUGAUGACGAGGCACUACGGUGCUGAAGCAACAAAUGCCCUGCUUCCAGGAAAAGCCUCUAAGCAUCAGGUAACAUCAAAUCGUACCCCAAACCGACACAGGUGGUCAGGUAGAGAAUACCAAGGCGCUUGAGAGAACUCGGGUGAAGGAACUAGGCAAAAUGGUGCCGUAACUUCGGGAGAAGGCACGCUGAUAUGUAGGUGAAGUCCCUUGCGGAUGGAGCUGAAAUCAGUCGAAGAUACCAGCUGGCUGCAACUGUUUAUUAAAAACACAGCACUGUGCAAACACGAAAGUGGACGUAUACGGUGUGACGCCUGCCCGGUGCCGGAAGGUUAAUUGAUGGGGUUAGCGGUAACGCGAAGCUCUUGAUCGAAGCCCCGGUAAACGGCGGCCGUAACUAUAACGGUCCUAAGGUAGCGAAAUUCCUUGUCGGGUAAGUUCCGACCUGCACGAAUGGCGUAAUGAUGGCCAGGCUGUCUCCACCCGAGACUCAGUGAAAUUGAACUCGCUGUGAAGAUGCAGUGUACCCGCGGCAAGACGGAAAGACCCCGUGAACCUUUACUAUAGCUUGACACUGAACAUUGAGCCUUGAUGUGUAGGAUAGGUGGGAGGCUUUGAAGUGUGGACGCCAGUCUGCAUGGAGCCGACCUUGAAAUACCACCCUUUAAUGUUUGAUGUUCUAACGUUGACCCGUGAUCCGGGUUGCGGACAGUGUCUGGUGGGUAGUUUGACUGGGGCGGUCUCCUCCUAAAGAGUAACGGAGGAGCACGAAGGUUGGCUAAUCCUGGUCGGACAUCAGGAGGUUAGUGCAAUGGCAUAAGCCAGCUUGACUGCGAGCGUGACGGCGCGAGCAGGUGCGAAAGCAGGUCAUAGUGAUCCGGUGGUUCUGAAUGGAAGGGCCAUCGCUCAACGGAUAAAAGGUACUCCGGGGAUAACAGGCUGAUACCGCCCAAGAGUUCAUAUCGACGGCGGUGUUUGGCACCUCGAUGUCGGCUCAUCACAUCCUGGGGCUGAAGUAGGUCCCAAGGGUAUGGCUGUUCGCCAUUUAAAGUGGUACGCGAGCUGGGUUUAGAACGUCGUGAGACAGUUCGGUCCCUAUCUGCCGUGGGCGCUGGAGAACUGAGGGGGGCUGCUCCUAGUACGAGAGGACCGGAGUGGACGCAUCACUGGUGUUCGGGUUGUCAUGCCAAUGGCACUGCCCGGUAGCUAAAUGCGGAAGAGAUAAGUGCUGAAAGCAUCUAAGCACGAAACUUGCCCCGAGAUGAGUUCUCCCUGACCCUUUAAGGGUCCUGAAGGAACGUUGAAGACGACGACGUUGAUAGGCCGGGUGUGUAAGCGCAGCGAUGCGUUGAGCUAACCGGUACUAAUGAACCGUGAGGCUUAACCUU
rnacentral:rRNA from 1 species